AUUGUCGCAUUGUUCUCAGAAUGUGUUACGUGGACAGUCUCUCAUUAUCUACUUUGCAUCCAGUUGCAACAAAAGAAGCGUAUGUGCUCUGGCUUUCUACCGGUUGACUAAUGAUCUGUAUGAGGAACACUAUUAUCUCUGUCUCAUUCUUUCCUCUGAAUCAAGAGAAUACCAUAUCUCCGGCUAUAUCGGAUUCGGUAUCACUACUAAAAAGGGAGGCAACAAGGGCAUUUUUUCUAAGCAAGCAGCAGAUGUCCAACAUUUGCUAUCAAGGUAAACUAUUCUCAGUUAUAUGGUUAAACUAUUUUCAGUUAUGUAUCCAUUAUUGUGAUGAACAAGUCAGUUUUCAGGAUCUUAGUCUAAGCACUUCUACGAUAUUACCAUAACAACUGUCAGGUGGCAGAUGUUGAAUUCAAUAUAGCCAGUGAGAAGUUCAUGCUAAAAAGGUGUACGGGCUCUACAUGUGGUAUUGUUUACUCCCGCUGGGACCUCAAUUUACUCUUGGUCGCGAUUUAGUGUGAUACCAGCAGACUGAGUUGUAUUUGUGUUUGGCUAAAAAUGUGGAGUUUUCCUAUGUGUUACUAUACACAAUAUUGCAACUUUGGUUUAUUCA